CUUAGCUACACCAGUUUAUUUUGAAUAUUGUCAUGUUAUAAUUAUGAAUAAUGCAAAAGAGACUAAAUUUGUAAACAAAAUUUACAAACUAAAUGAUGCGUCACCAAUAGAAAUGAGCACGUUUAUCAAUGGUUAAGUAAUAAUUCAAUCAUCAAUUUUCAUGUCAUUUAAUUUACCAAAUUUUAUCUACAAAUUUAGUUUUCCUAACAUUGCUUUGUAAUUAUAUCUAACAACAACAACAACAAAGCCUUUUCCCACUAAGUGGGGUCGGCUAUAUGAAUCCUAGAACGUCAUUGCGCUCAUUUGUGUCAUGUCCUCCGUUAAAUCCAAGUACUCAAGUCUUUUCUUAGGGUCUCUUCCAAAGUUUUCCUAGGUCUUCCUCUACUCCUUCGGCCCCG
rnacentral:lncRNA from 1 species